UGUUUCAGUUGCAAAAUUGUA
rnacentral:piRNA from 1 species